AUAUGCUUGCAUAUUGCACUGACAGUCCUCUUUCCUAUCAAAAUGGUAGCAAGACUGAAUGGAGCUACUACAAGGUAGUUAUCCUAUUACAUCAACUUAAAGCUAUUAAUCCUUCAACAAGUCGAGCCAAUCCUUCUGAAAAGUACAUCCAAGUUAUCUCUGUUGAUAGUCAUGAAUUCUGGUUCAUGGGCUUCUUAAAUUACGACGGUGCUGUAACAUGCCUACAGGAAGCUUUGCAACAACAUCGUUUACAAUCUGUGUGAUAUUUUUUCUACCAGCAUAACCUUCACCCGGUCAUAACAUGUUUCUUCAUGUGAGCAUUUGAUCUACUGCUUGGAGGCAUUUGAUGGAAAAAGCUCGUUCGGGGGCUCUUCAAUAUUCUAUGGCAAUGGAAAAAUAGGUAAUGGUAGAGUUUGUAUCUGGAAAUCAUAUGGAAGUUAGAAGAAAAGAGUACAAUGGAUCUGCUCUGUUUUAAGCUCUUCUGGUUUUAGUUUGACUUUAUAUAAUCCUUCCUAUAACUAGAUAGCAUACCGAAUAUUUCGACAUAUGUUUUCUGUGUGCAACUGCCUUGUCGAAUAGGUUUCGAUUAA